rnacentral:rRNA from 1 species
GACGAACGCUGGCGGCGUGCCUAACACAUGCAAGUCGAGCGAAGUACUUAUCAAGAAGCCUUCGGGCAGAUUGAUAAUCUACUUAGCGGCGGAUGGGUGAGUAACGCGUGAGGAACCUGCCUUCCACAAGGGGAUAGCCUCGGGAAACCGGGAUUAAUACCCUAUGACACUUAAAGGUCCCAUGACUUUUAAGUUAAAGCGUUAGCGGUGGAAGAUGGCCUCGCGUCCCAUUAGCUAGUUGGUGAGGUAAUGGCUCACCAAGGCCACGAUGGGUAGCCGGCUUGAGAGAGUGACCGGCCACACUGGAACUGAGACACGGUCCAGACUCCUACGGGAGGCAGCAGUGGGGAAUAUUGCACAAUGGAGGGAACUCUGAUGCAGCGACGCCGCGUGAGUGAAGAAGGUCUUCGGAUCGUAAAGCUCUGUCUUUGGGGACGAUAAUGACGGUACCCAAAGAGGAAGCCACGGCUAACUACGUGCCAGCAGCCGCGGUAAAGAGUAGUA